AGCGGCGCGAGUGCAGCUGUAAUGUGACUGUCUAAAAGCAACGACGCACACUAAAUAAUGGUUCAAAAGUCCCUCCACACUCCGUUGUCUGUUUCCAGGUGACAGUAACCAAGCAUUGAGGUGUCUGGCUCAUGUAAGAGAGAAACUAUCGAGGGCAUAUUUUGUCGAGAAAGGCAAGGGUCAAACAUGGGAGACGGGCAGCAUUGUGAGAGAAUGACGAUCCAGUCUUGAACUUGCAUAAGGAUUAGACGUUAAAGGACGCCGCAGCAAGGACUGUCGUUCAAAGGCAGGAGAAGGGAAGAACUGAUCCGAACUCAGAGGAUGCCAGUCAGACCCUCAACACCACACCACUCGGCCUCCGUUGCUGUUCCUGGGCAGAAUCAACUGAUAUCUAUCUAUCAAUCUAUCGAUGCCUCACAGGUAAAUUUAGCACCUCUUUUUGAGUGUCGCGUGUGCCAUAAAAUGCUCGUCAUAUUUGUAGCCCAUCAAGGAGUUCAUGUGUUACGUUGUUAUAGAUUAACCAAAUCAGUUCAUAUCUUUUGUCAUUUUCUUUGCUUCACGGGCGGUUUGAGGUGACUGGAGUUCUAGUUCCAGCAGGCAUAGUGUUUAUUUUAGUCAGCGUUACAGUCACUGAUUGUGCAGCAUUAAGUGACUGUAAAUAUUUUUGGUCCAGUUCUCGGUUGUACAGGCAAUGCUUAAUCAAUAUCGAGUACUGAAGCAGAGAGCAGAAAUUAAUUGUCUCACGAAAGACACAGACUAUGUACAUGUCUUGCACUGUAAGCACUACUGCAUUCAAAUUAGAGCAGUGUGUCAGCCAGCGGGACGCGGAGAUGUCAUCUCCGUCUUAUGUAAUGAGAGCUUCCAUCUUAACCUGGCAGAUCUGAUCCCAAUCCCUUAUUGUCUUUGCUUAAAUGAAUUGUGCUAAAUGCCAGUAGCUGCUGCUGGCAAAGGCGCUGAAGGUUAAGGACGGCCACCCUUAAAGCAUUCGUGAAUCUGAUCUUGUCCAUUAGCCCACAAGCAGAGGCAGAAAAUCAAUGGGAAACAAAAGAGGCAACCUCUUGGGGAGUCCUGGGAACAAGAGAAGACGAACACAAAUGGUGGAAAGAAUUGUGCGUGAAAGAAAUUUCCUCCAUCAAUUAGCGCGACUGCUAGCUUGUAGAAGUGUAAACAGAACUUGAGCCUGUAAGCGGCCAUUUCAAACUGCCACUCAUACUGACUAUCGUUGUUUCCAGAGCGGGAUGCUCCUAUAGAACAUCCAUCCGUUGAAUAUUCAUCUGCAGGCAGGUGCCUUCACAUCCAUAGGAGAGCAGAUAACGGUGAUAAAAAGACAAGCAAGCAGCUCAUUAGGUUUGUCCCUCCUUAAUAAAUGACUUCUUUGUGCUGAGGAGGAAACUUUACAUCGAAAGGGGAAAACAUUCUGGGCUUUGAAGUGUCUCUGGCAAGAUGUAUCAAAUUCUGGCAUGAUAUAUACAUGCUCCCAUAUGGCCAUAGUCUCAUGCUAUUUCAGACACAAUAGAUGAUGUCAGGCAGGAUUCAAUCACGCCGCUUCCCAUUUUACGUUCAACAUACUUCAUGGUGAUGUCGGUAAGUGGCGGCAUUAUGAAUUACAUUGCUCGGCUUCCGAGAUCAGGCGAGAAUGUCCGUUCUCAGGGUUGUGUGGCUUU